rnacentral:rRNA from 1 species
AACGAACGCUGGCGGCAUGCCUAACACAUGCAAGUCGAACGACACCUCCGGGUCUAGUGGCGCACAGGUGCGUCAAGCGUGGGAACGUGCCCUUAGGCUCGGAAUAACUCUCCGACAGGGGUGCUAAUACCGGAUAACUUCCUCUGACCCAAGAUAUGACGCCUUUGGAUGGGCCCGCGUUGUUUUAGCCAGUUGGUAGGGUAAAAGCCGAUCAAGGCGAGGAUCGAUAGCUGGGCUGAGAGGAUGGUCCGCCACACUGGGAGGGAGACACGGCCGAGAAUACUGCGCAAGGGGGGAGUGGCGGAUAUUGGACAAUCGGGGAAGGGCUGAUCCAGCACUGGCGCGAGAGUGAUGAAGGCGUUAGAGUUGUAAAGCUCUUUUACCCGGGAUGGUAAUGACAGUACCGGGAGAAUAAGCUCCGGCUAACUCCGUG